rnacentral:tRNA from 1 species
GGUGCUGUGGCGGAGUGGGUUAACGCUCCGGCCUGAAGUGCCGGCAUCCCAUAUGGGCACUGGUUCGAGACCUGGCUGCUCUG